rnacentral:rRNA from 1 species
GAUGAACGCUGGCGGCGUGCCUAAUACAUGCAAGUCGAGCGAACAGACGAGGAGCUUGCUCCUCUGACGUUAGCGGCGGACGGGUGAGUAACACGUGGAUAACCUACCUAUAAGACUGGGAUAACUUCGGGAAACCGGAGCUAAUACCGGAUAAUAUAUUGAACCGCAUGGUUCAAUAGUGAAAGACGGUUUUGCUGUCACUUAUAGAUGGAUCCGCGCCGCAUUAGCUAGUUGGUAAGGUAACGGCUUACCAAGGCAACGAUGCGUAGCCGACCUGAGAGGGUGAUCGGCCACACUGGAACUGAGACACGGUCCAGACUCCUACGGGAGGCAGCAGUAGGGAAUCUUCCGCAAUGGGCGAAAGCCUGACGGAGCAACGCCGCGUGAAUGAUGAAGGUCUUCGGAUCGUAAAACUCUGUUAUUAGGGAAGAACAAAUGUGUAAGUAACUAUGCACGUCUUGACGGUACCUAAUCAGAAAGCCACGGCCAACUACGUG